GCCUACGGGGGGCAGCAGUGGGGAAUAUUGCGCAAUGGGCGAAAGCCUGACGCAGCGACGCCGCGUGAGGGAUGAAGGUCUUCGGAUCGUAAACCUCUGUCAGCAGGGAAGAACGGUCACUGUGCUAAUCAGCAGUGAAUUGACGGUACCUGCAAAGGAAGCACCGGCUAACUCCGUGCCAGCAACCGCGGUAAUACGGAGGGUGCGAGCGUUAAUCGGAAUUACUGGGCGUAAAGCGCUCGUAGGCGGUAUGUCAAGUCAAGGGUGAAAUCCCCGCGCUCAACGUGGGAACUGCCUUUGAAACG
rnacentral:rRNA from 1 species